GCCUUCGUAGUGUAAUGGUCAGCAUGUUCGACGCGUAACCGAGAGGUCCGUGGUUCGAUUCCCAGCGAAGGCG
rnacentral:tRNA from 1 species